GUUUACAGCGAGUUUUGUUGGUUUGCUCUCAGCUUCUGCCAGUCUCUGCUGUGCAAAUCCAUGCAAAGCUCUCUGUUUCU
rfam:Larimichthys crocea isolate SSNF unplaced genomic scaffold scaffold281, whole genome shotgun sequence.